rnacentral:rRNA from 1 species
ACGGAAGGCAGCAGUGAGGAAUAUUGGUCAAUGGGCGGAAGCCUGAACCAGCCAAGUCGCGUGAAGGAUGAAGGUAUUAUGUAUUGUAAACUUCUUUAGCAGUGGAGUAAUAAGGGAGUCGUGACUCCUGAUGCAAGUACACUGAAAAUAAGGAUCGGCUAACUCCGUGCCAGCAGCCGCGGUAAUACGGAGGAUCCGAGCGUUAUCCGGAUUUAUUGGGUUUAAAGGGUGCGCAGGCGGCCUUGUAAGUCAGCGGUUAAAUCGGGGAGCUCAACUCCAUCCCGCCGUUGAUACUGCAGGGCUUGAUUGCGGUCGAGGUUGGCGGAAUUCGUCGUGUAGCGGUGAAAUGCAUAGAUAUGACGAAGAACACCGAUUGCGUAGGCAGCUGACCAGGCCGUAAAUGACGCUCAUGCACGAAAGUGCGGGGAUCGAACAGGAUUAGAUACCCUGGUA